GAAAUGUUAAUUUCUCCAAUUUCUGUUGAUUUUUUCGCAUGCACCCCCUGUUUCUCCCACACAUUCUAACUUGUGACAACUGCGCUUCUGUGAUGAAAGAAAGCAGGACCUGGAAAGAGGCAGGCAUGAUCUGGAGGCUUCAGAGGAUCAUCUUGGGAGAUGAUAACUCAUUUCCUACCAUCAGUCAAUAUCUGUAUCCACCUGCUUUUGGAGGAGAAUGCCAGGAUGAUGUCACCUAAAGGCUGCAGGUCUUUCCUUCAGUAGCUUUUGAGGAUGUGGUACUAUGUGAAUGAGGCUGGAUAUGAGAAGCUGGAAAAAGACAGCAGGGAGAAGAAAGCAAGUAGGGUCAGCACAGAGUUUACUUUUCACUCCUUCUUCACUGGUGAGUUAAUGGUACUGGCCACAGCAGUAUGGACUAUACCAGGUCACCUUUGGGGACCAAAAUGCAUUUGAUAGAUACAUCUUCCAUAGUUUUUGUUUUGUCUUCACAAAUUAGUGUUUAUAGAACCUAACCAGAGAUAAGAUUAGUGCACUGCUGGCGUGGGAUGCAGCCUUUAGGGUUUAGGUAAUGUUCUAUGGCUAACAAGAGCCAACAAGUUACACCUGAGUCAUUCCCCUGGGUGAAACAUGCCCUGGACUGAUGAUGACAGGAGCCAGCUGAGCAUCGUCAUGGCAGAUGACAAGUGUCGACAUGGGGACAGUCAUCUCCCAUUGUGUCUAACCAAGCAGAACUUGCAGUGGAAGAGCCACUGAGGUGACUGAUCUCA